UUAAACGGCCGCGGUAUUUUGACCGUGCAAAGGUAGCGCAAUCACUUGUCUUUUAAAUGAAGACCUGUAUGAAUGGUGAAACGAGGGCUUAGCUGUCUCCCCCCUCUAGUCAAUGAAAUUGAUCUAUCCGUGCAGAAGCGGGCAUAACCAUACAAGACGAGAAGACCCUUUGGAGCUUAAGACAGAAGACCAACUAUGUUAAAAACCACAAAAAUGAUACUAAACCAAUUAGUGCUGGUCACAGUCUUCGGUUGGGGUGACCGCGGGAGAAAAUAAAGCUCCCAUGCGGACAGGGGAACCCCCCUAAAACUAAGAAAGACAUUUCUAAAGCGCAGAACAUCUGACCAUUAAGAUCCGGCCUCAUGCCGAUCAACGGACCAAGUUACCCUAGGGAUAACAGCGCAAUCCCCUUCCAGAGUCCAUAUCGACAAGGGGGUUUACGACCUCGAUGUUGGAUCAGGAC
rnacentral:rRNA from 1 species